CUAUAAAACAAUAAGAAAAUUUUGCCUAUCUGAUGCGGACAACAAGAAGCUCCAGGAAAAAUAAAAAAUAAAAAGACUAAAGCACAAUUAGAAUUAUGAUCCAGAUUUAAUAGUCUUUUUAUAGUUUUAUUUAUAAGUCUAUUCAAAUAAAUUAGCUGCUGCCUAGCAUUUUAAGUUAGGAUAUUUCAGAAAUUUCCGGAUACCUUUAGGAAUCCUUGUUUGCAUUUUUAGAGUCUUAAUUUGAGUGACUAUUGGUUUAGGAUAAUAUUAUUCCU
rnacentral:misc_RNA from 1 species